CUAUGAUGGUCCGCGCCGCCGAGACGAUGACCACGGGAUCUGAGCCUGCAUUCAUCCUGCCCACGACCGCUUCUCCUGCCGCCGUCUGCCCUGCGCUGCCUGCAAGUUAGGCAAGGCUCCUCCUCGCAGCCCACAGGCCGCGCCACGGGCGGGACCUGAGCCCAGGACUGGAAUCCCACGGGCGAGAAUCUCGAGUGAGAGCCCGGCCCGUGCGGGGCUUGCUGGGAGCGUCUCGGUGCGAGCCCCCGUUGGGCUGGCGCCCCCUGGCCUUCGAAGAUCAGCUCUGGCGGUGAAGGGGUGAGGACGCCGGCAGCGUCUUAACGUCCCACAGUGAAAAGUUACCUUGGUUGACGUUUGGACAGUGAAAGGAGCAUGUAACAAGUGGGGUCAGUUUUGUUUAAAACCCUUGCUGACUUCCCAGCCUUUUCCUGGGCAAAGUUCAUAAUUUUUCUGAGCUUUCUAGGGUUCUAGGCAAGCUUAUCAGGGCCACCGUUACAGCAACUUGGGAACACCUGGAUAGUGGAACAAGAAAACUUGGUCACAAAGUCAUGAAGGGGAAAACGGUUGACGGACCUGGAGAAUCUUCCUGAAGAACUUUAAAGUAGAUUGAAAGAAUCAUUAAAUCCUGGAAACCUA